rnacentral:rRNA from 1 species
AGUCAAUAGAUACCCAGGUAGUCCAUGCCGUAAACGAUGAUUGCUAGGUGUGGGGGGUCUGACCCCUUCCGUGCCGGAGUUAAACACAAUAAGCAAUCCACCUGGGGAGUACGGCCGCAAGGUUGAAACUCAAAGGAAUUGACGGGGGCCCGCACAAGCAGUGGAGUAUGUGGUUUAAAUUCGAAGCAACGCGAAGAACCUUACCAGGUCUUGACAUCCACCGAAUCCUGUAGAGAUACGGGAGUGCCCUUCGGGGAACGGUGAGACAGGUGGUGCAUGGUUGUCGUCAGCUCGUGUCGUGAGAUGUUGGGUUAAGUCCCGCAACGAGCGCAACCCUUGUGAAUAGUUGCUACG